rnacentral:misc_RNA from 1 species
UUAACUAUUAGAUAGUACUCAGACGACACUAACAUUCAGAGUUUGGUAGGUCUCCAGCCGGUGCGGGACACCCCCGAAGGAGCGCCGACAGAGCGGCUAAAGCAACAUGAUAUAAUGAUACAAGGGUGGGGUUUCUACCCGUGAGGGCAGGAAACACUGUAAUGAUCCUUCCGCAGGUUCACCUACGGAAA